UUUCUUGCAUCUUUGGUUCUUGGAUUUGCCUGUGUAAUUCAUCAAGUGCAAGAGGCCUCCAAGUACAAGGUGUUAAGAAGCUUCACAUCUCAGGCAUUGAAAACUUCCAGAAUGCACAGUAUUAGUUGUGUCACCUAUGAAGCUAGAUUCCUCUGCUUCAGCAAUUCUGUAGACAUGAGGAAGGCGAAUAUGGAUUUUU